UACGAAGGGUGCAAACGUUGCUCGGAAUCAUUGGGCGUAAAGCGCACGUAGGCGGCUUCGCAAGUCGGAUGUGAAAUCCCUCGGCUCAACCGAGGACGUGCAUACGAAACUGCGGAGCUUGAGUGCUGAAGAGGAUCGCGGAAUUCCCGGUGUAGAGGUGAAAUUCGUAGAUAUCGGGAGGAACACCAGUGGCGAAGGCGGACGAUCUGGCAGACGACUGACGCUGAGGUGCGAAAGCGUGGGGAGCAAACAGGG
rnacentral:rRNA from 1 species